rnacentral:rRNA from 1 species
CCUACGGGAGGCAGCAGUGGGGAAUUUUGGACAAUGGGCGCAAGCCUGAUCCAGCAAUGCCGCGUGAGUGAAGAAGGCCUUCGGGUUGUAAAGCUCUUUUGUCAGGGAAGAAACGGUGGGGACUAAUACUUCCUGCUAAUGACGGUACCUGAAGAAUAAGCACCGGCUAACUACGUGCCAGCAGCCGCGGUAAUACGUAGGGUGCAAGCGUUAAUCGGAAUUACUGGGCGUAAAGCGUGCGCAGGCGGUUGUGCAAGACAGAUGUGAAAUCCCCGGGCUCAACCUGGGAAUUGCAUUUGUGACUGCACGGCUAGAGUGUGUCAGAGGGGGGUAGAAUUCCACGUGUAGCAGUGAAAUGCGUAGAGAUGUGGAGGAAUACCGAUGGCGAAGGCAGCCCCCUGGGAUAACACUGACGCUCAUGCACGAAAGCGUGGGGAGCAAACAGGAUUAGAUACCCUGGUAGUCCACGCCCUAAACGAUGUCUACUAGUUGUCGGGUCUUAAUUGACUUGGUAACGCAGCUAACGCGUGAAGUAGACCGCCUGGGGAGUACGGUCGCAAGAUUAAAACUUAAAGGAAUUGACGG